GGCUAUGUAGCUCAGUGGUAGAGCGAAGCCCUCAUAAAGCUUAGGUCGUUGGUUCGAUCCCAACCGUAGCCACCA
rnacentral:tRNA from 1 species